rnacentral:rRNA from 1 species
GACGAACGCUGGCGGCGUGCUUAACACAUGCAAGUCGAGCGGUAAGGCCCUUUCGGGGGUACACGAGCGGCGAACGGGUGAGUAACACGUGGGUGACCUGCCUUUAGCUCUGGGAUAAGCCUGGGAAACUGGGUCUAAUACCGGAUAUGACUCCAUGACGCAUGUUGUGGGGUGGAAAGCCUUGUGCGGCUAGGGAUGGGCCCGCGGCCUAUCAGCUUGUUGGUGGGGUGAUGGCCUACCAAGGCGACGACGGGUAGCCGGCCUGAGAGGGCGACCGGCCACACUGGGACUGAGACACGGCCCAGACUCCUACGGGAGGCAGCAGUGGGGAAUCUUGCGCAAUGGGCGAAAGCCUGACGCAGCGACGCCGCGUGAGGGAUGACGGCCUCGG